UAGGGAAUAUUAGUAAUGGGCGAAAGCCUGAACUAGCAACGCCGCGUGUGCGAAGAAGGCCUUCGGGUUGUAAAGCACUUUUUGAGAGGAUGAGGAAGGACGGUACUCUCAGAAUAAGUCUCGGCUAACUACGUGCCAGCAGCCGCGGUAACACGUAGGAGGCGAACGUUAUCCGGAUUUACUGGGCGUAAAGCGCGUGUAGGUGGUUUGGUAAGUAGGGCGUGAAAGCUCCUGGCUCAACUGGGAGAGGCCGUUCUAAACUGCCG
rnacentral:rRNA from 1 species